rnacentral:rRNA from 1 species
GAACGCUUUUGCGACUUCGGUUGCAGGAGAGUGGCGCACGGGUGAGUAGCGCGUGGGAACCUGCCCUGUUGUGGGGGAUAACCGAGGGAAACUUCGGCUAAUACCGCAUACGCCGGUUGUCUUGAGAGAGAUGGCCGGGAAAGAUUGAUCGCAGCAGGAGGGGCCCGCGUCGGAUUAGCUAGUUGGUGGGGUAACGGCCCACCAAGGCGAUGAUCCGUAGCUGGUCUGAGAGGAUGAUCAGCCACACUGGGACUGAGACACGGCCCAGACUCCUACGGGAGGCAGCAGUGGGGAAUAUUGGACAAUGGGCGCAAGCCUGAUCCAGCAAUGCCGCGUGAGUGAUGAAGGCCUUCGGGUUGUAAAGCUCUUUCGCCCGCGACGAUGAUGACGGUAGCGGGAGAAGAAGCCCCGGCUAACUUCGUG